rnacentral:rRNA from 1 species
GACGAACGCUGGCGGCGUGCUUAACACAUGCAAGUCGAACGGAAAGGCCCUGCUUUUGUGGGGUGCUCGAGUGGCGAACGGGUGAGUAACACGUGAGUAACCUGCCCUUGACUUUGGGAUAACUUCAGGAAACUGGGGCUAAUACCGGAUAGGAGCUCCUGCUGCAUGGUGGGGGUUGGAAAGUUUCGGCGGUUGGGGAUGGACUCGCGGCUUAUCAGCUUGUUGGUGGGGUAGUGGCUUACCAAGGCUUUGACGGGUAGCCGGCCUGAGAGGGUGACCGGCCACAUUGGGACUGAGAUACGGCCCAGACUCCUACGGGAGGCAGCAGUGGGGAAUAUUGCACAAUGGGCGGAAGCCUGAUGCAGAAACGCCGCGUGCGGGAUGACGGCCUUCGGGUUGUAAACCGCUUUCGCCGGUGACGAAGCGUGAGUGACGGUAAUGGGUAAAGAAGCACCGGCUAACUACGUG